CGGACGGGUGAGUAACGCGUGGAGAACCUGCCGUAUACUGGGGGAUAACACUUAGAAAUAGGUGCUAAUACCGCAUAAGCGCACAGCUUCGCAUGAAGCAGUGUGAAAAACUCCGGUGGUAUACGAUGGAUCCGCGUCUGAUUAGCUUGUUGGCGGGGUAAAGGCCCACCAAGGCGACGAUCAGUAGCCGGCCUGAGAGGGUGAACGGCCACAUUGGGACUGAGACACGGCCCAAACUCCUACGGAAGGCAGCAG
rnacentral:rRNA from 1 species